CUAACGCAUUAAGCAUUCCCCCUGGGGAGUACGCCCGCAAGGUUGAAACUCAAAGGAAUUGACGGGGGCCCGCACAAGCGGUGGAGCAUGUGGUUUAAUUCGAAGCAACGCGAAGAACCUUACCAGGUCUUGACAUCUUUUGAUCACCUGAGAGAUCAGGUUUCCCCUUCGGGGGCAAAAUGACAGGUGGUGCAUGGUUGUCGUCAGCUCGUGUCGUGAGAUGUUGGGUUAAGUCCCGCAACGAGCGCAACCCUUAUGUCUAGUUGCCAGCAUUUAGUUGGGCCCUUUAGUAAGACUGCCGGUGACAAACCGGAGGAAGGUGGGGAUGACGUCAAAUCAUCAUGCCCCUUAUGACCUGGGCUACCCACGUGCUACAAUGGAUGGUACAACGAGUUGCGAGACCGCGAGGUCAAGCUAAUCUCUUAAAGCCAUUUUCAGUUCGGACUGUAGGCUGCAACUCGCCUACACGAAGUCGGAAUCGCUAGUAAUCGCGGAUCAGCACGCCGCGGUGAAUUCGUUCCCGGGCCUUGUACCCCCCCCCCGUCACCCCAUGAGAGUUUGUAACACCCGAAA
rnacentral:rRNA from 1 species